rnacentral:rRNA from 1 species
GACGAACGCUGGCGGCGUGCUUAACACAUGCAAGUCGAACGGAAAGGCCCCUUUGGGGGUACUCGAGUGGCGAACGGGGGAGUAACACGUGAGUAACCUGCCCUUGACUUCGGGAUAACUUCAGGAAACUGGGGCUAAUACCGGAUAGGAAUCCUUGCUGCAUGGUGGGGGUUGGAAAGCUUCGGCGGGUUUGGAUGGACUCGCGGCUUAUCAGCUUGUUGGUGGGGUAGUGGCUUACCAAGGCGUUGACGGGUGGCCGGCCUGAGAGGGCGACCGGCCACAUUGGGACUGAGGGACGGCCCAGACUCCUACUGGAGGCAGCAGUGGGGAAUAUUGCACAAUGGGCGGAAGCCUGAUGCAGCAACGCCGCGGGCGGGAUGACGGCCUUCUGGUUGUAAACCGCUUUCAGCAGGGGCGAAGCUUGUGGUGACGGUACCUGCAGAAGAAGCACCGGCUAACUACGU